UACAAAGAGCCUCAUUUCUUGAAGGUGUCC
rnacentral:piRNA from 1 species